rnacentral:rRNA from 1 species
AACGAACGCUGGCGGCAUGCCUAACACAUGCAAGUCGAACGAGACCUUCGGGUCUAGUGGCGCACGGGUGCGUAACGCGUGGGAACCUGCCCUUAGGUUCGGAAUAACUCCCCGAAAGGGGUGCUAAUACCGGAUAAUGUCUUCGGACCAAAGAUUUAUCGCCUUUGGAUGGGCCCGCGUUGGAUUAGCUAGUUGGUAGGGUAAAAGCCUACCAAGGCGACGAUCCAUAGCUGGUCUGAGAGGAUGAUCAGCCACACUGGGACUGAGACACGGCCCAGACUCCUACGGAAGGCAGCAGUGGGGAAUAUUGGACAAUGGGCGAAAGCCUGAUCCAGCAAUGCCGGGUGAGUGAUGAAGGCCUUAGGGUUGUAAAGCUCUUUUACCCGGGAUGAUAAUGACAGUACCGGGAGAAUAAGCUCCGGCUAACUCCGUG